UGACCUCGGAUCAGGUGGAUCCCC
rnacentral:rRNA from 1 species